UUUGGUUGUUAAUUUAUUUUUAAUUAGUAGCUAGUAGCUAUGUGAGUUGUUAUUUUUAAACAUUUGUUCCAAUUCAAGUCUAAUCUUCAAUGAAGAGUAAUACGUUGACAAAAUUUUUAGACCAAAUUUGCAAAUCAUAUGACGUGUCAUCAAAAAGUUUAAUUUAGUACCCAUUUAUUACUUAUACAUAUCAAUUGAAGACUCAAAAACAUCAUUAUUUUUUUAGUCCCAUAUUGAUAAGGUUAGUAAAUAAGAUAAAACACCUCAUGAUUUAUACAAAAACACUUUAAAAGUUUAGAUGGAAAACAAAACUCAUAUUUAUCUAUUUGUAAACCCGGAGUUUUUUUGUUUCCUUCUCACAAUACAAAAUAAAUUAAUUUUUCUGUGUUUCUAAAUUAUUAAGUUUGAAGUGCUUUUUUAAGUAUAAUUUUAUCGAUGUCUUACAUAUGAAAACAAAUAUUUUUCUUAUAUAAAGUGAGGGCACAUUUUUUGACGUCGCCUCGGACCUCAAAAAUCUCUAGACCGGCCUUGUGGUUAAGUCUGACCCAUUGCACGAGAAACUACACAGAACGGACUCCUUACCCACACCGAAGGGGUGUCUGAACUGAAAAUCAUUAAUGCCAUAGGACCAUGCAUAACAUGCAUGCAAUAAAACUUGUCCCUAGAUUCAAAGCCUGGUUAGGGUUUGUCUUAAUCAUUGGUUCACUCUUCUAGCAAGCCAAUUUGUGCUUAUCAAUGAGAUGUGCAGAAUAAGUUGACCCUCUGACCAUAUUAGAGCCAUUGUUGUUGGCUUUUUCUUUCUUAACAAGAAUAUAUUUUAAACCUACUUUAAUUAACUGGAGGAGAUUUGAAUUAGGAUACAACGAGACAGGUCAGACACUGAGCAAGGUGUAACUUAUACGUCUUAGUUUGUUAUCUUUUAAGCGCAUGAUUAGGUUCGUAUGCAUGGUAAAUCUUGCUGGUGAUCCUAUCAUCCUAAAUCAUACCAUGGGUGAGGAGUGUUGAAUGGUUCUCAAUAUUCGGAGAAAACACACACAGAUGUGCCGAGAAUAGAAUGUAACCCACGUAUGUUUGAAUGGUUUUAAUAUUUUUUCCACAAUAUUCAUGCCUACCUUCACCGUGUUGUAGCAGCAAAAAUAGUAUAUAUUUAAGAGCGGUGUUAUCUACACACCGUUCUUUUAUCUUUCAUAUAUACAUUCCUCUCAAUUUAUGAUCGUCAGCUCGAAUGAAUUGAAAAAUAUCAAAAG
rnacentral:lncRNA from 1 species